UACGAAGGGGGCUAGCGUUGCUCGGAAUUACUGGGCGUAAAGCGCACGUAGGCGGAUCUUUAAGUCAGGGGUGAAAGCCUGGAGCUCAACUCCAGAACUGCCUUUAAGACUGCAUCGCUUGAAUCCAGGAGAGGUGAGUGGAAUUCCGAGUGUAGAGGUGAAAUUCGUAGAUAUUCGGAAGAACACCAGUGGCGAAGGCGGCUCACUGGACUGGUAUUGACGCUGAGGUGCGAAAGCGUGGGGAGCAAACAGG
rnacentral:rRNA from 1 species